rnacentral:rRNA from 1 species
AACGAACGCUGGCGGCAGGCCUAACACAUGCAAGUCGAGCGAAGCCUUCGGGCUUAGCGGCGGACGGGUGAGUAACGCGUGGGAACGUGCCCUUUGCUACGGAAUAGCCCCGGGAAACUGGGAGUAAUACCGUAUGUGCCCUUCGGGGGAAAGAUUUAUCGGCAAAGGAUCGGCCCGCGUUGGAUUAGGUAGUUGGUGGGGUAAUGGCCUACCAAGCCGACGAUCCAUAGCUGGUUUGAGAGGAUGAUCAGCCACACUGGGACUGAGACACGGCCCAGACUCCUACGGGAGGCAGCAGUGGGGAAUUUUAGACAAUGGGCGGAAGCCUGAUCUAGCCAUGCCGCGUGAUCGAUGAAGGCCUUAGGGUUGUAAAGAUCUUUCAGGUGGGAAGAUAAUGACUGUACCACCAGAAGAAGCCCCGGCUAACUCCGUGCCAGCCGCCGCCGUAACAC